ensembl:snRNA U6 U6 spliceosomal RNA
GUGUUCCCUUCGACAGCACAUACACUAAAAUUGGAACGGUACAGAGAUUAGCAUGACUCCUGCGCAAAGGCGGCACGAAAAUUUGUGAAGUGUUCCAUCAACAA